UAAGACUUUACUUAGUUUCUUGAUACAUUUUGACACUGUAGCUGACUGAGCUUCUAUAAUGACUUUUUGAUCUUCAAUCUGCUGCUGAAGUUAAUAGAUGUCUGCUGUCUUUAUCUUUUUGUGAUUCACAUCUUGUCUUUUGCAUUUAUAGUGAGCUUUUGAGAUUUCUGAUAAUUGCUGAUGUACUGUGAAUUAUUGAUUCAGAGCUGAAGCAGAGCAACCUUGUCUAAGUCUUUAUUCAAUGAAAACAGAAGUGA
rnacentral:sRNA from 2 species